CCCUUAGAUGUUCUGGGCCGCACGCGCGCUACACUGAUUCAUGCAACAAGUUUUGUCCUUGGCUGAUAGGCCUGGGUAAUCUCCAAAUUUCGUCGUGAUGGGGAUAGAUUAUUGCAAUUAUUAAUCUUCAACGAGGAAUGCCUAGUAAGCGCAAGUCAUCAGCUUGCGUUGAUUACGUCCCUGCCCUUUGUACACACCGCCCGUCGCUCCUACCGAUUGAAUGGUCCGGUGAAGCGUUCGGACCGUGGCCUUUGGACGGUUCGCCGUCUGUUGGCUGCGGGAAGUUCGUUAAACCUUAUCAUUUAGAGGAAGGAGAAGUCGUAACA
rnacentral:rRNA from 1 species